CCUAACACAUGCAAGUCGAGCGGAUGACAGGAGCUUGCUCCUGAAUUCAGCGGCGGACGGGUGAGUAAUGCCUAGGAAUCUGCCUGGUAGUGGGGGACAACGUCUCGAAAGGGACGCUAAUACCGCAUACGUCCUACGAGAGAAAGCAGGGGACCUUCGGGCCUUGCGCUAUCAGAUGAGCCUAGGUCGGAUUAGCUAGUUGGUGAGGUAAUGGCUCACCAAGGCGACGAUCCGUAACUGGUCUGAGAGGAUGAUCAGUCACACUGGAACUGAGACACGGUCCAGACUCCUACGGGAGGCAGCAGUGGGGAAUAUUGGACAAUGGGCGAAAGCCUGAUCCAGCCAUGCCGCGUGUGUGAAGAAGGUCUUCGGAUUGUAAAGCACUUUAAGUUGGGAGGAAGGGCAGUAACUUAAUACGUUGCUGUUUUGACGUUACCGACAGAAUAAGCACCGGCUAACUCUGUGCCAGCAGCCGCGGUAAUACAGAGGGUGCAAGCGUUAAUCGGAAUUACUGGGCGUAAAGCGCGCGUAGGUGGUUUGUUAAGUUGGACGUGAAAGCCCCGGCUCAACCUGGGAACUGCAUUCAAAACUGACAAGCUAGAGUAUGGUAGAGGGUGGUGGAAUUUCCUGUGUAGCGGUGAAAUGCGUAGAUAUAGGAAGGAACACCAGUGGCGAAGGCGACCACCUGGACUGAUCUGACACUGAGGUGCGAA
rnacentral:rRNA from 1 species